rnacentral:rRNA from 1 species
UGGGAAUAUUGCACAAUGGGCGAAAGACCUGAUGCAGCAACGCCGCGUGAGCGAAGAAGGUCUUCGGAUUGUAAAGCUCUGUCCUUGGGGAAGAUAAUGACGGUACCCUCAGAAGAAGCACCGGCUAACUCCGUGCCAGCAGCCGCGGUAAUACGGAGGGUGCAAGCGUUAAUCGGAAUAACUGGGCGUAAAGGGCAUGCAGGCGGUUCAUCAAGUAGGAUGUGAAAUCCCCGGGCUCAACCUGGGAACAGCAUACUAAACUGGUGGACUAGAGUAUUGCAGGGGGAGACGGAAUUCCAGGUGUAGCGGUGGAAUGCGUAGAUAUCUGGAAGAACACCAAAGGCGAAGGCAGUCUCCUGGGCAAAUACUGAC